GCGAUAGCGGCAGCUACCAUGCAGUCGACGGUAACAUUUCUAGCUUGCUAGAAGAUGACGAGUGGCGGACGGGUGAGUAAUGCUUGGGAACUUGCCUUUGCGAGGGGGAUAACAGUUGGAAACGACUGCUAAUACCGCAUAAUGUCUUCGGACCAAACGGGGCUUCGGCUCCGGCGCAAAGAGAGGCCCAAGUGAGAUUAGCUAGUUGGUAAGGUAACGGCUUACCAAGGCGACGAUCUCUAGCUGUUCUGAGAGGAAGAUCAGCCACACUGGGACUGAGACACGGCCCAGACUCCUACGGGAGGCAGCAGUGGGGAAUAUUGCACAAUGGGGGAAACCCUGAUGCAGCCAUGCCGCGUGUGUGAAGAAGGCCUUCGGGUUGUAAAGCACUUUCAGUUGUGAGGAAAAGUUAGUAGUUAAUACCUGCUAACCGUGACGUUAACAACAGAAGAAGCACCGGCUAACUCCGUGCCAGCAGCCGCGGUAAUACGGAGGGUGCGAGCGUUAAUCGGAAUUACUGGGCGUAAAGCGCACGCAGGCGGUUUGUUAAGCUAGAUGUGAAAGCCCCGGGCUCAACCUGGGAUGGUCAUUUAGAACUGGCAGACUAAAGUCUUGGAGAGGGGAGUGGAAUUCCAGGUGUAGCGGUGAAAUGCGUAGAUAUCUGGAGGAACAUCAGUGGCGAAGGCGACUCCCUGGCCAAAGACUGACGCUCAUGUGCGAAAGUGUGGGUAGCGAACAGGAUUAGAUACCCUGGUAGUCCACCCCGUAAACGCUGUCUACUAACUGUGUGUGUCUUUUAG
rnacentral:rRNA from 1 species